rnacentral:rRNA from 1 species
AACGAACGCUGGCGGCAUGCCUAACACAUGCAAGUCGAACGAAGCCUUCGGGCUUAGUGGCGCACGGGUGCGUAACGCGUGGGAAUCUGCCCUUUGGUUCGGAAUAACAGUUGGAAACGACUGCUAAUACCGGAUGAUGACGAAAGUCCAAAGAUUUAUCGCCAGAGGAUGAGCCCGCGUAGGAUUAGCUAGUUGGUGUGGUAAAGGCGCACCAAGGCGACGAUCCUUAGCUGGUCUGAGAGGAUGAUCAGCCACACUGGGACUGAGACACGGCCCAGACUCCUACGGGAGGCAGCAGUGGGGAAUAUUGGACAAUGGGCGAAAGCCUGAUCCAGCAAUGCCGCGUGAGUGAUGAAAGCCCUAGGGUUGUAAAGCUCUUUUACCCGGGAUGAUAAUGACAGUACCGGGAGAAUAAGCCCCGGCUGACUCCGUGCCAGCAGCCGCCGUAA